AUUGAACGCUGGCGGCAUGCUUUACACAUGCAAGUCGAACGGCAGCGGGGGCUUCGGCCUGCCGGCGAGUGGCGAACGGGUGAGUAAUGCAUCGGAACGUGCCCAUGUCGUGGGGGAUCACGUAUCGAAAGGUACGCUAAUACCGCAUACGUCCUGAGGGAGAAAGCGGGGGAUCUUCGGACCUCGCGCGAUCGGAGCGGCCGAUGUCGGAUUAGCUAGUAGGUGGGGUAAAGGCUCACCUAGGCGACGAUCCGUAGCGGGUCUGAGAGGAUGAUCCGCCACACUGGGACUGAGAGACGGCCCAGACUCCUACGGGAGGCAGCAGUGGGGAAUUUUGGACAAUGGGCGCAAGCCUGAUCCAGCCAUGCCGCGUGAGUGAAGAAGGCCUUCGGGUUGUAAAGCUCUUUCGGCCGGGAAGAAAUCGUGUUCUCUAACAUAGGACAUGGAUGACGGUACCGGACUAAGAAGCACCGGCUAACUACGUGCCAGCCGCCGCGGUAAGAC
rnacentral:rRNA from 1 species